GACGAACGCUGGCGGCGUGCUUAACACAUGCAAGUCGUACGGUAAGGCCCUUUCGGGGGUACACGAGUGGCGAACGGGUGAGUAACACGUGAGUAACCUGCCCACAACUUUGGGAUAACGCUAGGAAACUGGUGCUAAUACUGGAUAUGUGCUCCUGCUGCAUGGUGGGGGUUGGAAAGCUCCGGCGGUUGUGGAUGGACUCGCGGCCUAUCAGCUUGUUGGUGGGGUAGUGGCCUACCAAGGCGGCGACGGGUAGCCGGCCUGAGAGGGUGACCGGCGACAUUGGGACUGAGAUACGGCCCAGACUCCUACGGGAGGCAGCAGUGGGGAAUAUUGCACAAUGGGCGCAAGCCUGAUGCAGCAACGCCGCGUGCGGGAUGACGGCCUUCGGGUUGUAAACCGCUUUCAGCAGGGACGAAGCUUUUUGUGACGGUACCUGCAGAAGAAGCACCGGCUAACUACGUG
rnacentral:rRNA from 1 species